rnacentral:rRNA from 1 species
AUUGAACGCUGGCGGCAUGCUUUACACAUGCAAGUCGAACGGUAACAGGCCUUCGGGUGCUGACGAGUGGCGAACGGGUGAGUAAUGCAUCGGAACGUACCCAGAGGUGGGGGAUAACGCAGCGAAAGCUGUGCUAAUACCGCAUGUGAUCUGAGGAUGAAAGCGGGGGACCGAGCAGCAAUGUUUGGCCUCGCGCCUUUGGAGCGGCCGAUGUCGGAUUAGCUAGUUGGUGGGGUAAAGGCCUACCAAGGCGACGAUCCGUAGCUGGUCUGAGAGGACGACCAGCCACACUGGGACUGAGACACGGCCCAGACUCCUACGGGUGGCAGCAGUGGGGAAUUUUGGACAAUGGGCGCAAGCCUGAUCCAGCAAUGCCGCGUGCGGGAAGAAGGCCUUCGGGUUGUAAACCGCUUUUGGCAGGAACGAAACGGUGUCCGCUAAUACCGGGCGCUAAUGACGGUACCUGCAGAAUAAGCACCGGCUAACUACGUG